rnacentral:rRNA from 1 species
UACGAAGGGGGCUAGCGUUGCUCGGAAUCACUGGGCGUAAAGGGCGUGUAGGCGGGAGGGAAAGUCAGAUGUGAAAUCCCCAGGCUCAACCUGGGAACUGCAUUUGAAACUCCCCUUCUUGAGUACCGGAGAAGAAAGUGGAAUUCCUGGUGUAGAGGUGAAAUUCGUAGAUAUCAGGAGGAACACCAGUGGCGAAGGCGGCUUUCUGGACGGUAACUGACGCUGAGACGCGAAAGCGUGGGGAGCAAACAGG